rnacentral:snRNA from 2 species
AAAAGUUUGCUGUUUUAGUAUUUGUCCAGUAGGUUUCCUCAAAGAGAAAGAACCCAC